rnacentral:lncRNA from 1 species
UGUUGAGCUAGUUGUAUAUAAAAUGCCGCUGAAAAGCAGCAUAUGUUUUUGAUAACUGUAAAACACAUUAUAUUUAAGAACUAGGAAGGAAUGUAAAUGCUGAAUAUUAAUGUGCUUGUCUCAUUUAAAUUAAAAGUUGCUUUUGAUAUAAUUUUUCUCAAAACAAGAUAACCCUUUUCGGGAUCUCUUCUGCAGAAGUCGCAAAGGAGAAGACAUCACAAAACUAUUAAAACCCUCCAAGAGCCUCCCAAAGAUGGACCAGAUACUCCCACCUCCGCAUCCUCAGAGGAAACUGGAUGCAGGUAUGCACUGAACACCUUGGAAGAUAUCAUCCAUAGAUAAAAGGGAACCACUAUCCUAC